rnacentral:tRNA from 1 species
AGUUAUAUGGCAGAUAAAUGCAUUAGAUUUAGAAUCUAAUAAUAAAAACUAUAAAUUAUUUUUAAAAAUUUUAAAUU